GAUGAACGCUGGCGGCGUGCCUAAUACAUGCAAGUCGAGCGAACGGACGAGAAGCUUGCUUCUCUGAUGUUAGCGGCGGACGGGUGAGUAACACGUGGAUAACCUACCUAUAAGACUGGGAUAACUUCGGGAAACCGGAGCUAAUACCGGAUAAUAUUUUGAACCGCAUGGUUCAAAAGUGAAGGACGGUCUUGCUGUCACUUAUAGAUGGAUCCGCGCUGCAUUAGCUAGUUGGUAAGGUAACGGCUUACCAAGGCAACGAUGCAUAGCCGACCUGAGAGGGUGAUCGGCCACACUGGAACUGGGACACGGUCCAGACUCCUACGGGAGGCAGCAGUAGGGAAUCUUCCGCAAUGGGCGAAAGCCUGACGGAGCAACGCCGCGUGAGUGAUGAAGGUCUUCGGAUCGUAAAACUCUGUUAUUAGGGAAGAACAUAUGUGUAAGUAACUGUGCACAUCUUGACGGUACCUAAUCAGAAAGCCACGGCUAACUACGUG
rnacentral:rRNA from 1 species